AUGACCUCGUCCUCGUGUGUUUAGUUAUGAUGAGGUCCUCGUGUGUUUAGUUAUGAUGAGGUCUAGGACAGGUAAUGUAGUUAUUGAUGACCUCGUCCUCAUGUGUUUAGUCAUGAUGAGGUCUAGGACAGGUAAUGUAGUUAUUGAUGACCUCGUCCUCAUGUGUUUAGUUAUGAUGAGGUCUAGGACAGGUAAGGCAGUUAUUGAUGACCUCGUCCUCAUGUGUUUAGUCAUGAUGAGGUCCUCGUGUGUUUAGUUAUGAUGAGGUCUAGGACAGGUAAGACAGUUAUUGAUGACCUCGUCCUCAUGUGUUUAGUUAUGAUGAGGUCUAGGACAGGUAAGGCAGUUAUUGAUGACCUCGUCCUCAUGUGUUUAGUUAUGAUGAGGUCUAGGACAGGUAAGGCAGUUAUUGAUGACCUUGUCCUCAUGUGUUUAGUUAUGAUGAGGUCUAGGACAGGUAAGGCAGUUAUUGAUGACCUCGUCCUCGUGUGUUUAGUUAUGAUGAGGUCUAGGACAGGUAAGGCAGUUAUUGAUGACCUUGUCCUCAUGUGUUUAGUUAUGAUGAGGUCCUCGUGUGUUUAGUCAUGAUGAGGUCUAGGACAGGUAAUGUAGUUAUUGAUGACCUCGUCCUCAUGUGUUUAGUUAUGAUGAGGUCUAGGACAGGUAAGGCAGUUAUUGAUGACCUUGUCCUCAUGUGUUUAGUCAUGAUGAGGUCUAGGACAGGUAAUGUAGUUAUUGAUGACCUCGUCCUCAUGUGUUUAGUUAUGAUGAGGUCUAGGACAGGUAAGGCAGUUAUUGAUGACCUUGUCCUCGUGUGUUUAGUUAUGAUGAGGUCCUCGUGUGUUUAGUCAUGAUGAGGUCCUCGUGUGUUUAGUUAUGAUGAGGUCUAGCUAUGAGGAGUUAAAGUGUGUGUGUGUGUGUGUGGGGGGGGGGGGGGGGGUGGUGUGUGAGUGAAUGAAUGUAACAGUUUUUCUGGUCUGAUUUGUGAUGUUUUAUUUGUGCUUCCCAUGACUGGGUUUUAGUAUUUAAAGGUUCUAUAUGUUUGGGUCUAAUGUGUAGAGUGACUGUAUGUUGUAUUUUCAGGGCACAUUUGUAGAAAAAGACCUCAAUAUGUUUCCCCUGUUAAAAUAAAGUUUAUUUUUAAGUGUGUGUAUAUACAGUGCA